rnacentral:rRNA from 1 species
GACGAACGCUGGCGGCGUGCUUAACACAUGCAAGUCGAACGGUGAAGGGGAGCUUGCUCCCCGGAUCAGUGGCGAACGGGUGAGUAACACGUGGGCAACCUGCCCCAGACUUCGGGAUAACGCUUCGAAAGAGGUGCUAAUACCGGAUACGAACUCCUUGGGCAUCCUGGGAGUUGGAAAGUUUUUCGGUCUGGGAUGGGCCCGCGGCCUAUCAGCUAGUUGGUGAGGUAACGGCUCACCAAGGCGACGACGGGUAGCCGGCCUGAGAGGGCGGCCGGCCACACUGGGACUGAGACACGGCCCAGACUCCUACGGGAGGCAGCAGUGGGGAAUAUUGCGCAAUGGGCGAAAGCCUGACGCAGCAACGCCGCGUGAGGGAUGACGGCCUUCGGGUUGUAAACCUCUUUCAGCAGGGAAGAAGCGAAGGUGACGGUACCUGCAGAAGAAGCACCGGCUAACUACGUGCCAGCAGCCGCAGUAAGAC